AUUGAACGCUGGCGGCAGGCCUAACACAUGCAAGUCGAACGGUAACAGGAAGCAGCUUGCUGCUUYGCUGACGAGUGGCGGACGGGUGAGUAAUGUCUGGGAAACUGCCUGAUGGAGGGGGAUAACUACUGGAAACGGUGGCUAAUACCGCAUAACGUCGCAAGACCAAAGAGGGGGACCUUCGGGCCUCUUGCCAUCAGAUGUGCCCAGAUGGGAUUAGCUUGUUGGUGAGGUAACGGCUCACCAAGGCGACGAUCCCUAGCUGGUCUGAGAGGAUGACCAGCCACACUGGAACUGAGACACGGUCCAGACUCCUACGGGAGGCAGCAGUGGGGAAUAUUGCACAAUGGGCGCAAGCCUGAUGCAGCCAUGCCGCGUGUAUGAAGAAGGCCUUCGGGUUGUAAAGUACUUUCAGCGGGGAGGAAGGUGUUGUGGUUAAUAACCGCAGCAAUUGACGUUACCCGCAGAAGAAGCACCGGCUAACUCC
rnacentral:rRNA from 2 species